rnacentral:rRNA from 1 species
UACGUAGGGUGCGAGCGUUGUCCGGAAUUAUUGGGCGUAAAGGGCUCGUAGGCGGUUUGUCGCGUCGGGAGUGAAAAUCCAGGGCUUAACUCUGGACUGGCUUUCGAUACGGGCAGACUAGAGGUAUGCAGGGGAGAACGGAAUUCCUGGUGUAGCGGUGAAAUGCGCAGAUAUCAGGAGGAACACUAGUGGCGAAGGCGCCACUCUGGGCCGUAACUGACGCUGAGGAGCGAAAGCGUGGGUAGCAAACAGG